UUCAAUUUAUUGUUAUUUAUGUAUUCAUUUAUUUUAUUAUUGCAAUAACUAGAAAUUUACGAGUAACCUUUAGAAAAUGUAUUAAUUAUUUAAAGAUGACAAUAAUUUUAUUACGUAGAACGGAUCGCAAUGUUUUGACAACAGCAACAGAGCACUUGUAUCAACUAAAACUAUCAACAAUUAAAAAUUUUAAACCACUUUUUCUCUUUUCUGUUUCUGUUUGUAUGAGCGCUUGGAAAUAUCAAUAUCGAAAGUGACAUGAUGGAGAGAGAGAGUUCUAUCUUCAAUAGAAAACAUUGAAAGGGUAGGAACUGAAGCCGAUAUGAAUCCACGAAUGCCUAAAGUGUUGUAUAUGUUCGGAACUAAUAAAACCAAAAUCCUUCCAUCCUGUACGGUGAGAAUGAAUUCAAAAGAAGGAACCGUAUUUUGAAACACACGGUAUUAAAUGUGAUCCUGACGCUGAUCAUUACAAACUUGCAACCUUAUAACAACAGAGGAUCGCCAAACCUACCGCAAUUGCAAAUACUUAUUGCAUUAAGGCAUAAAAAUGCAACUGGAUGUUUUCAGAUGGUGUGUGGUGAUCUGAACAGCAUAAGCCAAUCUACAGUCUGUUUAAUUAUAAAUAAAGUCUCUGCAGAGUUGAGUAAAUUACUUCCUAGAUUUGUAAAUUUAUAAUUAUUCUCAAAUAAGAACUAGGCAUAUUUUUUAAAGGUCUUUCGGAGUGUGAAAAAGGAAAUUUCCAUGUUUACAGCUAGGACUACAGUCAAAAUUGACAAAUACUAGUUAUAUAUAAUUAUAGCUUGUGCUGUAUUGCAUAAUAUAGGUAUACAGAGAGGCGAUGCUUAUGAUGAUGGUGAUCUUGCUGACAGCAGAAGUUGAGUAACACAGAAACAAUGAAAGAUCUCCUACAGGUCUAGCAUUCCGGCAAUCUGUGAUUGCACAAUUUAACUAGGUAAUUUGUUUGGUAAUAAAGAAUAUCAAAACAAAA